GACGAACGCUGGCGGCGUGCUUAACACAUGCAAGUCGAACGGGAAGGCCCUGCUUUUGUGGGGUGCUCGAGUGGCGAACGGGUGAGUAACACGUGAGUAACCUGCCCUUGACUUUGGGAUAACUUCAGGGAACUGGGGCUAAUACCGGAUAGGAGCUCCUGCUGCAUGGUGGGGGUUGGAAAGUUUCGGCGGUUGGGGAUGGACUCGCGGCUUAUCAGCUUGUUGGUGGGGUAGUGGCUUACCAAGGCUUUGACGGGUAGCCGGCCUGAGAGGGUGACCGGCCACAUUGGGACUGAGAUACGGCCCAGACUCCUACGGGAGGCAGCAGUGGGGAAUAUUGCACAAUGGGCGGAAGCCUGAUGCAGCAACGCCGCGUGCGGGAUGACGGCCUUCGGGUUGUAAACCGCUUUCGCCUGUGACGAAGCGUGAGUGACGGUAAUGGGUAAAGAAGCACCGGCUAACUACGUG
rnacentral:rRNA from 1 species